AUAAAUAAAAGAUAAGAAACGAGAUGUAAGAAAAUUGAGAUUAAUGAUUUCAGAAAAAAAAUUAUGAAAAUAAAUAAAUUAAAAAAAAAAUAUAAGAUUUGUACAAUGUAGUCAUGUUCACAACAGAAGUAGAAGAGAAAUUAGAAAUUAGGCCGGAUGAAAAUAAUGUUGUCAUAUAUAUUUCUAAAAA